rnacentral:rRNA from 1 species
GCUCGUAGUUGGAUUUUGGGCGCAGGCGGCCGGUCCGUCGCAAGGCGUGUACUGGACGUCCUGGCCUUCCCUCCGGUUCUCCGCCGGUGCUCUUGACUGAGUGUCGGCGGCGGCCGGAACGUUUACUUUGAAAAAAUUAGAGUGUUCAAAGCAGGCUCUCGAGCCUGGAUAAUGGUGCAUGGAAUAAUGGAAUAGGACCUCGGUUCUAUUUUGUUGGUUUUCGGAGCGCGAGGUAAUGAUUAAGAGGGACAGACGGGGGCAUUCGUACUGUGCCGUUAGAGGUGAAAUUCUUGGAUCGGCGCAAGACGAACGACUGCGAAAGCAUUUGCCAAGAAUGUUUUCUUUAAUCAAGAGCGAAAGUCAGAGGUUCGAAGACGAUCAGAUACCGUCCUAGUUCUGACUAUAAACGAUGCCAACUAGCGAUCGGGGGGCGUUACAUUGACGACCCCUCCGGCAGCUUACGGGAAACCAAAGUCUUUGGGUUCCGGGGGAAGUAUGGUUGCAAAGCUGAAACUUAAAGGAAUUGACGGAAGGGCACCACCAGGAGUGGAGCCUGCGGCUUAAUUUGACUCAACACGGGAAAUCUCACCCGGCCCGGACACAGUGAGGAUUGACAGAUUGAGAGCUCUUUCUUGAUUCU